GCCAGUGUUUUUCAUAGUGUUGAAAAAUGAUCAAUUAUGGUAUUUUCCUCUCUUGAACAUUCAGAAAUGGGCAGGUUCUUACUACAUGUGGUCUAAUAAAACUGAAACUAAAUAACAGAUACAAUGAUAGGAGGGAUGAAAAAUUAUAUAAAGCAUAAAAACGGGGGCAGGGGUACUUCUGUGGAGCAGAGUUGCUGGAAGAAACAGCGUAUUCCUAACAAUUGUUAUUAGGAGACUGGAAAACAACCGCCAACUUUCAUUUCUAUCCCUAUACCCAGUUAAACUAUUCUCUUUGAUAGCUGCCUCUAGCUCUUCUUUGAAACAAAUAAUUUACAUAUAAAUACAUAUGCUAUGGAUAUAUAACCAUAACAUACUACCAUAAAACAAAGAAGCAAUACAAGAAAAAUUAAAGUCCAUUUAAUGACAGAACAAUUUUCCCAAUAACCCAACUCCCAGAUGUUCCCUAUUUCAUAAUUCACAGGAUGCUUAAGGGCAACUACUCUUACCUUUUCCUUAAAGGUCAACUCCUGCCAGUGGAACCCGAUGUAACUACUAAAUAGGUCGUGCUGCAGUAUAGCAGAGGCUUUGGGAAAGCAGUCUGGUGUGAUAACAGCAGGGAUGGGAUGACUGUGAGGAAAUGCAGGCACAGACAACUUGCCCAGGUCACAUUAGUGAAGCCAGGAUGUAAACCCAGGCAUGGAACGAGCAUGAGCUCUGGAGUCAGACCUGGUGUUCCACUGUCAACUGUGUGAUCUGCCUAAGGUUGCUUUGGCCCUAACUCAUCUGUAAUUUUGAGGUGAAUUUCAUAAGACCGGCCCUGAGCUAACAUCUGCCAAUCGUCCUCUUUUUGCUGAGAAAGACUGGCCCUGGGCUAACAUCCAUGCCCGUCUUCCUCCACUUUAUAUGGGACGCCGCCAUAGCAUGGCUUGACAAGCGGUGCGUCGGUGCACGCCCACGAUCUGAACCAGCGAACCCAGGGCUGCCGCAGCGGAGCGCUCACACUUAACAGCUUGUGUCACCGGGCCAGCCUAGAAGAAAUUUUUAUGUACAUGAAGUGAUCACUUUUGCAUUAUCAGGAACUCUGGUGGCAUUAGCACUGAAGUUGAGUCAAAAUGAAAAGGGCUGG